rnacentral:rRNA from 1 species
UAAUACGGAGGAUGCGAGCGUUAUCCGGAUUCAUUGGGUUUAAAGGGUGCGCAGGCGGAUAUAUAAGUCGGAGGUGAAAUUCUGAUGCUCAACAUCAGCCGUGCCUUCGAUACUGUAUAUCUAGAGUCAAGUUGGAGUAGGCGGAAUGUGUUGUGUAGCGGUGAAAUGCUUAGAUAUAACACAGAACACCGAUCGCGAAGGCAGCUUACUAAACUUUGACUGACGCUCAUGCACGAAAGCGUGGGGAUCAAACAGGAUUAGAUACCCUGGUAGUCCACGCUGUAAACGAUGAUUACUCGCUGUUGGCGAUACACAGUCAGUGGCUAAGCGAAAGUGAUAAGUAAUCCACCUGGGGAGUACGACGGCAACGUUGAAACUUAAAUGAAUUGACGG